rnacentral:rRNA from 1 species
CCUACGGGAGGCAGCAGUGAGGAAUAUUGGUCAAUGGGCGCGAGCCUGAACCAGCCAAGUAGCGUGAAGGAUGACUGCCCUACGGGUUGUAAACUUCUUUUAUAAAGGAAUAAAGUGAGGCACGUGUGCCUUUUUGUAUGUACUUUAUGAAUAAGGAUCGGCUAACUCCGUGCCAGCAGCCGCGGUAAUACGGAGGAUGCGAGCGUUAUCCGGCUUCAUUGGGUUUAAGGGGUGCGCAGGCGGGCCUUUAAGCCGGCGGUGAAAUCGCGGGGCUCAACCCCGCCGAGCCGUGGGAACUGGGGGCCUUGAGUGCGGCGGAGGCAUGCGGAAUGCGCGGUGUAGCGGUGAAAUGCAUAGAUAUCACGCAGAACCCCGAUUGCGAAGGCAGCAUGCCGGCUUCCGACUGACGCUGAAGCACGAAAGCGUGGGGAUCGAACAGGAUUAGAUACCCUAGUAGUC